GCCACCACGACCAGCCACAUUCCUAAGGCAUCCAAAGCCUCUGGGAUGUGUUCUGACUGUAAAAACUCUGAUGUUGUGAAAAAAGCUUACGCUUUGCCUCCACUCAAACCAGGUAACUGGCUUGGAUGUGAGUUAAUUUCUCUACACUUAGUCCUCUCGGUGUAAGUUUAGAAUAAUAGUGAUCUUCCCCUGAAAGGAAUGGUGUAGGCCUAUAUGAAAGGAUGUAAGUGAGAAUGCUCAAUAAACUGUGCAACCUUAAACAGAUAUUUGAUGUCACUCAAAAGAGCCUUAAAAUGAGGGAACUUCUAAGGCCCUCUCUCCACUGAUGUAUUUAUGACCCAAAUAACUCCAUUUACUCCCUUCUAUAAAUUCCCGUCUCUUGUUGCAAUUGUUGGGACAGAAAAUAAUCUGACUGUUCCCUAAAUUUAUUCACCUUAAGAAAAAAAUGCCUGAUAAGGCCAGGUGUGUUGGCUGAUGCCUGUAAUCCCAGCAAAGGCAGGCUGAUGGCCUGAGCUCAGGAGUUUGAGUUCAGCCUGGGCAAUGUGGUGAAACCCUGUCUCUACAAAAAACUACAAACAUUAGCAGGGCAUGGUGUUGCACGCCUGUAGUCCCAGCUACUUGGGAUGCUGAGGUGGGAGGAUCGCUUAAACCUGGGAGGCAGAGGUUGCAGUGAACAGAGAUCACGCCACUUCUCUCUAGCCCAGGCAACAGAAAGAGGCCCCAUCUCAGAAAAAAAAAGAAAAGAAAAGAAAAGAAAAGAAAAAAUGCCUUAUGAACAUAAAACCACCUUAGUUUGUUGAGAUUUUUUUAAGAGAGAAUUGUGAAUCUAAUUAUUCUGCAGCCUGUUGGGGACAAGUCCUUCUUUUGUCUACUCUGUUCAUCACUAUCCUAAGAAACACAAGAGUCAGAAAGGUGGUAUCCCAGAAACAAAAGCCUAUUCAUCUCGAUGUUAAGGCUCUGAUACAUAAAGGAUGGUAAUUUAAUUUCCUGAAAUUUGUUAGUCUGAAAGUUUAAUUAAGAGAAACCAAGACACUAAAAUAGUUUUGUAUCAAAUCUGUAGAAUAGUGGGAC
rnacentral:lncRNA from 1 species